AAGGAAAGAAUCAUGGCCGUAGUAGUCAUCACCACGGAAAUGGCAGCAAGUCAAAAUCCAAAACUCCCACUCCAGUAGCACCAGCACCUCCAUUACCUAAACCAAAAGAUGAUAGCUCAUCAGCCCCACCAAAGAAAGGUCACAAUUAUGUUCCUGCUGCUACUUAUAAUGUCUUAGAUUUUGCCGCCAAAGGGGAUGGAAAAACCGAUGAUACAAAGGUAAUUUUUCUAUUAUAUUCACCAACAGACAUCACAUUUCAUAACAAUUCUCCAUGUAACUCCGCACACAAAGUAAAAUUUGUUCCAAGUUCAUGCUAUAAGUGCAGUCUUAAGCUUUCAUGUCCUUAUCCAGAAUGUUGUAGAUAGGACCACGUAAACAAAAACAUGCAUAUAGAAUGUAGCACUCCAGGUGAACAAGCGUGACUCCUUAGGUACUUGCCACUAACUUCUUCUUCUUCAAAUGUUCAAAGAAUUGACAAGCAUCACUUAAAAAGAAUUUCAAAAUUUUAAUGUAUUUUUAGUUCAUCAGAAUUAUAGGAUGCCUUAGGAAUUUAAAGGAGUGUUACAUUCAAAUUAUAUUGUAGAAAUUUUGUUACUGUGGUAGGUAACUAUCAGAUGUUCCUUCUACGAAAGGGAAAAAAAAAUCAAAUCUUAGGUGUAUAAAGCUAGACUAUGCCAAAAAUCAUACAAAGAAAAAGACAAUAGAACUUACAGAGUAAUUAACAACAAAAUCAGGAAGGGACCACUCAAGUGACUCUAAUUACAGCAGUUUGGUCCAGAUUCCAACAGUAAUUGUAUACAGUUAGGUACAAACUACAACAGUAUGACAAAAAAUUAAUUCAUCUUUUAAAGUUGGAGAAGAGAAAUAGUAGACAAAAACAAAGUUAAUUUACUGACUCAGAAAAAAUGUCUCUGUCUCAUGUGCAAAACAGGCAUUUCAAGCUGCAUGGGCAGCUGCUUGUAAGAUGGAGGCAUCCACCAUCAUCGUCCCAUCAGAAUAUGAGUUCCUUGUGGGACCCAUCUCGUUUUCUGGUCCUUACUGUCAACACAACAUCGUUUUUCAGGUAAAUUUUGAUAUUUAUUUGUGAAAAAAAAUAUUUCCACAAGUGUAUUACCCAAUCAAGUAACAAAUCAAUUACACCAUUAAUUUCCACUUUCCCUUUCCAUCCAAAACCAGCUUCUUUAAUGGUCCCAGCUUCAAUCAUCAUUUGGUCAUCACAAAUUCAUAAUCUUUUUGCAGCUUGAUGGUACAAUUAUUGCUCCAACGAACUUCAAAGCUUUUGGUUCAGGUCUCUAUCAGUGGCUUUUAUUUACAAAACUGGUAGGAAUCACAGUUCAGGGGAAAGGCAUCAUUGAUGGAAGAGGCUCAAUUUGGUGGCAAGACUCCACACUAGAUGAUCCUUUAGAUGACGAAUUAAAGCUAAUUAUUCCAUUAAACAACACAGUGGAAGAAAAUCUACCAAUUCCAGUUAUUAUUUCUCCUUCCUCUCAUAAAUUUGUUAACCCAGUUUCUGAUUGUGAAGAGUCUUCUUAUCGUUUUAUCCAAUACUUGUGUGGCAGGUAAGCAGCUCACUUGGUGGAAAGAUGCCAAGCAUCAAGCCAACUGUAAGGACUAAGGACCACUUGAAAGCAACAAAAGUUUAUAAUGCAAUUCUUAACCAUGCAAACCUUGCAACCUAACAACUGAUUUUGCUACACAGGCACUGAGGUUUUAUGGGAGUUUUAAUGUGACAGUCAUGGGCAUAACAAUUCAGAACAGUCCCCAAUGCCACCUCAAGUUUGAUAAUUGCGUGGGAGUUUCUGUGUACAAUAUGACUGUUUCAUCUCCGGGUGACAGCCCUAAUACAGAUGGAAUUCACUUACAGAACUCCAAGGAUGUGCUGAUCCAUACUACCAACCUUUCUUGCGGUAAUACAUAGUUUUUGGAUAAGAAAUUUUGUCAUGUCAUUCACUUAUUGUCACUGGUCCUCUUAAAACUAGGACUUGUUGAGUCAGAUGUCAAGGCUAUGGGUUAAAAGUUCAAACAGAACAAUAUCCCUGAAAAUUUUCUCUCUUACUAAACUAGUAAGUACAAAACCAAUUAUACUGCUUGUCCCUUUUACCAAAUUCUUUAGGUCCACUCACUAACUUUUUGACAAAUCACAACCAUUCAUCUCUUACAUACAACUUUAAUCACUACAAGCUUAUGUCCCUGAUUUACAGAGACAUGUUAUGGCUUGAAUGGUCCUGAUUCCUGAAAGAACAAAUUGAUAUAGGAUUAGGUUUGAACCCCACGUACUAAGAGUUCUUUUCUUAAAUAUUCUUUCAACUUCUAAAUCGUCUUCUCUGGAAAAUAGAAUAAUUGUCUUCCUCCCCCUUUCUACUUAUUUUGUUUUAUCACAUCUUAAGAGGUAAAGCCAGCUGUAGAAAUAAAUAAAGAGCCAUUCGGUACAAUAAAGUAAUGUGUCUCAGUCUAAAGACUACAAUUAGUAUGUUCUCAAAUUGUAAUGCUUUUUGCAGGAGAUGACUGCAUUUCAAUACAAACUGGAUGCUCAAAUGUAUAUGUACACAAUGUCAACUGUGGACCAGGACAUGGAAUCAGCAUUGGAGGGCUAGGAAAAGACAACACAAAGGCCUGUGUCUCAAACAUCACUAUUCGAGACAUCAUUAUGCAUAACACGAUGAAUGGUGUUAGGAUAAAGACCUGGCAGGUAUGAAUACCAUUUGCAGUUUUUCGGUUUGAAAUUUGAUAACUUAAAUUAUGUCCGUCGUCCGAGUCAAUUGGACAAUCAGAUCUUUCAUUAUUUCAUAAGUAAAAAAUAUAGUAUCAAAUAUUAUAAGCAUUAACCUACUUUAAAAUCUCAAGUACAAUUUUGCUAGGAUCUCAAAAAUUGAAAAUAUAAUCCUUAAAUUUUCUAACUGACUAAAUGCGAUGUAAUAAUGAAACUGUUGAGCUCAAACCCACCUAUUCAUGGACAGCCAACAUUCCUAAUGCAUGACUCCAACAUUCUUACAUAGUUCCAACUUCCAAAUGCUACUUUGUGCAGGGUGGUUCAGGGUCUGUGCAAGGAGUAUUAUUCUCAAACAUUCAGGUAUCUGAAGUCCAGUUUCCAAUCAUAAUUGACCAAUUCUAUUGCGACAAAAGCCAAUGCAAGAACCAAACAACUGCUGUGGCUCUAUCAGGAAUCACCUAUGAAAAGAUAAGAGGAACAUACACAGUAAGACCUGUGCACUUUGCAUGUAGCGACAGCCUGCCAUGCACGGAUGUUACCUUAAAUGCCAUCGAAUUAAAACCACUGCAAGAACGUUACCACAUGUAUGAUCCAUUCUGCUGGCAUACAUUUGGAGAAUUGUACUCUGAAACUGUUCCUCCAAUAGAUUGCAUAGAGAUUGGCAAGCCACAUAACAACCGGAUUCAGGUUGAUCAUGAUGUAUGCUAAGUCUAGCAUAGAUAUAUUUUGAUGUAUAUACUUGUGUGGUCGGUGUGAUUUCCUGACCCCUUUCACACCAUUAGCUAGAGAGGUAAUAGUUGAUAAUAUUGGUACUGUUAAUUUGUAUGAUUUAUCUUUACUAAGACAUGGUGGGAACUGGGAAGUAUGUAUACAUACAGUUAUAGUAGCUUAGAGUUUCAUAGCAUGGGUGUAAGGCAGACUUGUCUGCUAAUAUAAAGGGUUCUAUUGUACUUGUAAGAAAAAGGGUUUUAUUGUCAGCUAUCUAAGAAAACUUAUUUUUAGGUAUGAAAUAAGUAAACUANNNNNNNNNNNNNNNNNNNNNNNNNNNNNNNNNNNNNNNNNNNNNNNNNNNNNNNNNNNNNNNNNNNNNNNNNNNNNNNNNNNNNNNNNNNNNNNNNNNNCAUUUAUUUACAAUCAUAUACUAUAGGUAAACAUAUUUAUUAAGUCAAUUGAGUACUAGCAUAAUCAAAUAUUCAUGAAUAUAACUGUCUAAGAUGAGAUGAGAUGGGAUGGGGGGGGGAACACAUGAACUAGGAAAUGAAUACCACCUAAAUUUACAAAAUUAAGAAAACCGAGAAGCGCAGGUCAGAUGGAUCAGUAACAAUAGAAGUAAGGAAGCUUUUGUAGAAUAACAAUAAUGUAGAAGACUGUACGCAGGAGAGGAGUGAGUCCUCUUCCUCUAUAAUGAAGUGAUAUGGGAGAAUAAAUCAAUUCAAGAAUUUAAAAUUUUCAAUGUACCAGGUUGCAUCCCACUUCAAUCCCCCAGCUACUUCCCCCUUCAAAUGAGAAAGAAGAGUAAGUGAUGUCACUAAUAACAGCAGCAUGUUUUACAAAUUAAGCCAAAUUGUAAUAGCCGAUAUGAAAUACCAGAAACUAAUAUUCCUUGGACUCACCGCCAUUUUGGACGUUUAAUCCCAUUGAUUUUUGCUGGACUAUCGCCAGGAGCGAUUUCAAAGUAGUAGUAGCGUAGUUGCGACUUGCGAGGAGGAGGGGACUUUCUGUACAACUUUCAAGUUUGAACCUAACCUAACUGGUAUGUUUCGGGAAGAACCUAACUGGACCGCAU
rnacentral:lncRNA from 1 species